rnacentral:rRNA from 1 species
UGGGGAAUAUUGGGCAAUGGGGGAAACCCUGACCCAGCAACGCCGCGUGAAGGAAGAAGGUUUUCGGAUCGUAAACUUCUAUCCUUGGUGAAGAGAAGAAGACGGUAGCCAAGAAGGAAGCACCGGCUAACUCCGUGCCAGCAGCCGCGGUAAUACGGGGGGUGCAAGCGUUGUCCGGAAUCAUUGGGCGUAAAGCGUUCGUAGGCGGUAUAUCAAGUCUGGUGUUAAAGCCCGGGGCUCAACUCCGGUUCAGCAUCGGAUACUGGUAAACUAGAAUGCGGUAGAGGUAAGGGGAAUUCCUGGUGUAGCGGUGAAAUGCGUAGAUAUCAGGAGGAACAUCGGUGGCGAAAGCGCCUUACUGGGCCGUUAUUGACGCUGAGGAACGAAAGCCGGGGGAGCAAAUG